GCCCCGCCCCGGCCCGCCCCCGGCCCGCCCCGGCCCGCGGGUCCGCCGGGGAGCCCCGCAGACCCUGCCCUUCGCUGCCAGAGGCCCGCCCCCGAGCCCCGCCUCCAGUCUUCAGAGACCCGGGGCCGACCCCAAGCCGGAGCCGGGCAGCCCCGAAACGUGGGGCCCUGGGCGCGCCGCUAGCGCCCUCAGCUUUGGGCCUCAGCGGUGGCGACGUUGCUAGCUCAACCCCAGACUGGGCUGGUCCGCUGGAGGAGGCUGGGAGAAGAGCCACCUGUGGAAGGAACCUCGGGAGAGGUUUUGUGUCGGAGAGACUCGCGGGUGCCCUUGGCGACGUGUCUUAAGCGCCUCUCCAAGUCUCAGUUUUCUCAGCUGCAACGUAGGGCUCGCCUAUUUCACCAGCUGGUCGAGGGCAUUAGAACAAAGGUGCGUGGUAAAGCUCCUAGUUGAGGCGGAGGGAUGGUCUUAGUUGAAGAGAAAAGGGGGGAUUUCUGGGGCUGGAGCUGCACCAGUCACACGCGUGCGCACUGGCUGUGGACAGACCCUGGGCCCUGCUGCCCUGCUGGGAGCCUGGGCAGACGCCGGGAAAGCCCAGUCCUGCCACCUGCCUGCCGUUACUACCUUCCCCGCCCCCAAUCAGGGACAGGUUUGCGCAGCCGCUACUGCCUUUCGCGGUCGAGGUAGAUGUGGCAGGUAAGACACAAUCUACAUUCAAAGCUAUCUAAGCCUUGUCUCUGUACUUUCUUUUUAAAGUGUUCCAGGUGCCUGAGACAGUUUUUAAAUAAACAGCGACAACUACCUUGUUAAAUACAUAUAUAGGUACAUACAUAGAAGUUUGGUACACACUUGUAAUCCUAGCACUUGGGAGGGUGAGGCAAGAGGAUCCCUGGGAGUUGGAAGCAAGUUUGAACUACUCUUUGAGUUCAAGACCAACAUGAGCUACAUAGAGAGACCUUGUCUCAAAAACUAAAAUAAAGUUGAAAAUCCACCUUUUACCUGCUGAACCUGUGAAAUUUCAAAAGAAAGUUUUCACGCUGUGUGAUGCCAAUUGCCUGUAAUCCCAGCACUUAGGAGGCUGAAGCUGGAGUAUGUCAGAGGAUUUGAGGCCAGCCUGGAAUGCACAGUAAGUCAAGAUGCCACAGGAGGAAGAGGAGGAGGAGGAGAAUAAGAACAAGAAGAGAGGGGAGGAAGAAAGAAGAAAUAAAAAGAAAAAACAAGUGUGUCUUCAGAAAAGACUGUUUAAUUCUAAAAAAGAAACUGAAGAGUCCUAACCAGCUCGGUGAUAAGACAGGUGUACUUCCAAACAAGCUAGGCUUGAUGGCACAAGCCUGUAAUUCCAACACUAGAGAGCCUAAAUCUUUAGGGAUUUGGACUUGGAGGCUAACCCGCUGAAUAGGGAGUUCAAAACCAACCUGGAGCUGAGUAUGGUGGUGCACACCUGUAAUCCCAGCACUCAGGAAGCUGAGUCAGGAGGAUUGCCUCCAGUUCAAGGCCACCCUGGGCUAUAUAGUAGUAAGUUCAACACCAGCCUGAACUAUGUAGCAGAACUCUGUCUAGGCAAAAACAAAAAAACCAGCUGGACUACAUAGCAAGACCCUGUCUCAAAACAAAAUAAAGCCCACUUCUCUUCUGUCUUACCAUCAGAAGCAAACAUCCAACAAAUUUCAACAUGCAUUGCUCUCCCUGUACUUAAUCCACUGCCCCAGAAAUGUCCUAGCCCAGGCUGGAAGUUAAAAAUAGUCACUUGGGCUCAGCCCUGAGGUGGUGGCUCAUUUUAUGACAAGUGUAAUACUAAUAAACUUGUCAAUAAGAGAACCCAAACUGUGGCCAGGAAGUUUAUGAAUAUUGUGCUGUAUUCUCAAGACCCUCCUGCAAAUGAAAGUGGCAACCGCGGUCACCUGUCCAGUGAGGACCCUUGGUCUCAGAGGAGUGACCAAGGGUACACACCCCCUUAGUUCAGGCUGCUAACACCAGCCCCACCCUUUCCCCUUCAAGUCGUUCCACUUCCUUCUAUCAUCUCCAAGCCUAAAAUACCUUUGCAGUUUGUCACAUGUACAUGUCACUUGUACUAUUGCUGAUUUAACAGGCUUCUUUAAAAUUACUCACCUUGCAGGGAGUAGUGUCACACGCCUGUGAUCCCAGCACUUUGGGAGGCUGAAGUAGGCGGACCGUCCAGAGUCUGAGUCCAGUCUGGAUUGCAUAGUGAGUUUAAGGCCAGCCUGAACUACACGGUGGGAUCCUGUCUGAAGAAACAAAACAAACAAACCAUAUAGGAAAAUAAAUAAUUCACUUUAUUUUAACAAAUUUUAUUUGAAAAGUCAACUAUGACAUAAUCAUAAGUGAAAAGACAGUGGUACUUUGCCCUGUGGGGAAAGACACAUAAAAGUAAAUACAGUGAAGAGCAAAGUCCAUUAUAUAAUCUAGCCUGACAUCAUUGCUUCUUCCGGCUGCUGCUGCUUUUGUUCAAAAGGAAGAGUAAGAAAAGAAAGGUUGUUGUUAAAGACACUGUAGGGGCUGAUGCAGGUAGAAAUGAUCUAGUAUGUUAUGUGCAUAUAUGCGUCUGUCAGAAGACCCAUUAAUCUGCAUGACUAAUAUGUACUCAUCAAAAUAAAGUUUGAAGGGCUGGGUAUUUAGCUCAGCAGCAUAAGCGC